rnacentral:rRNA from 1 species
CCCGUGAGGGAAAGUUGCAAAGCACUUUGAAGAGAGAGUUAAAGAGGACGUGAAACCGAUGAGGUGGAAACGGACAGAGCUGGCGUAUCUGGCCUGUAUUCAGCCGUGGGCUCGCUGGCGUCAGGGAUGCCGCUCUCCAGAUUGGGACGGUGGCCUGUCUGCCGGUGGGUUUGUGGUGCAUUUGCAGGUGGAGUGCGCCGAGGCGCUCGGGUGCAGCGGCAUGAGCCCAGUUUUGAGGCCAGCCUCGCAAGAGGUCUGGUACCCGGACUGUUGGGGAGUGCUGUUUGCCCUGGGUGUACAAAAAGGGUAAUGGUCUCGGGCCCGGGUGGGCGCCGAGCUGGCAGUCGGAGGCGGUCGCAUGCGACACGUGCCAGCGGUCAGUUCGGUCCUGCUCGAGCUCACAUCUGCCCGUCCUCGGUGUAAAAGCCGGUCAUCUGUCCGACCCGUCUUGAAACACGGACCAAGGAGUUUAGCGUGUGCGCGAGUCAUUGGGCGUUGAAAACCCAAAGGCGCAAUGAAAGUGAAGGUCUCCCUUGCGGAGCUGAUGUGUGAUCCCGGGCGCUGCGGUGCCCGGGCGCAACAUAGUCCCGUCCCGACCGCUUGCGGUGGGGCGGAGACAGAGCGUACGCGCUGAGACCCGAAAGAUGGUGAACUAUUCCUGAGCAGGAUGAAGCCAGUGGAAACUCUGGUGGAAGUCCG